rnacentral:tRNA from 1 species
GCUUGUGGCUCAGUGGUAGAGUGCUUGCCUGGCAUACGUGAGGCCCUGGGUUCGAGUCUCAGCACUGCA